rnacentral:rRNA from 1 species
AAAGUAGCAUAAUCACUUGUCGCUUAAUUGGCGACUAGAAUGAAUGGCUAAACGAAUCCCCCUCUGUCUCUGAAAGAACUCUGGCAAAUUUGAAACGACAGUGAAGAUGCUGUCAAAUAAUUGUAAGACGAAAAGACCCUAUCGAGCUUUACUGAAAACUUGUAUACCAAUAUCCUUAACUAUAACAAAGGUUCUAAAACUGCAAGGUCGACAGUUUGGUUGGGGCGACCACCCCUAAAAAUGUAUCAGGGGAACUCUAAAGGCUAUUAUAAUAUGAAAAAUUGCCUUACUGAAGACAAACAAGUCAACCAGUUACAAUAAGUAGGACAUACUGACCCGUUAUUUUACUCAUACUAAAUAACGACUAUGAAAAAAGUUACCGUAGGGAUAACAGGGUAAUAUUUUCAGAGAGUUCAUAUCGAUGAAAAUGUUUGCCACCUCGAUGUUGAAUUAUGAUGUCCUAAGGGUGCAGCAGCUCUC